UGUCAAGAUGUUCUCCAAAUCACUAUGCCAAGGAAAGGGAACUGAGGAUUAGAUAGAUGGUCUUGGAGACGACUAUACAGGCCCUAAUCAUUCUAUCAGCCGGUGCGAAAUCAGUGAGAAAAUAACAUUAGAGGGGAUGUGAAGAUAUAGAAGCAAAAUCAGAAAAGGAAUUUUAUUCUUUUUUUUAGGAUUUAUUUAUUUAUUGAUGAGAGACACAGAGACAGAGAGAGGGGCAGAGACAUAGGCAGAGGGAGAAGCAGGCUCCCUGCAGGGAGCCCGAUGCGGGACUUGAUCCGGAGACUCCAGGAUCACGCCCUGGGCCAAAGGCAGGUGCCCAACUGCUGAGCCACCCAGGCGUCCCAGAAAAGGAAUUUUAGAAUAUGAUGAGAAUAUGCUAAAACACCUAUCAUAAUAUAUACAAAUUAAAAUGUCAGCUAAAACAGUAUUCAAUCAAAACGACACUAUACAUUAUUCCAGAAUAGCCCUGGAAAUAAAAAGCCUUAUCCUGUCCCCACAAGAGAGCAUAAGCAACUCUAUAUUAUAAUGAAGAGAACGUCAAGGGUUUAUCUUUUCCAAGGGAGUAUGCGUCAGAGAAUAUAAAUGCAUGUGCCUUUACUCUGCAACAUUAGAUGGGAAACAGUAUGAGACCAAACAUCAGCCCUAAAGGCCCUAGUCCCCAAUCAAGUGGCUAUUAAUAUCCUCAUUUUAGAUGUGCUAUGGCUGAGACUCAGAGCGGUGUGUCCCCCCCCCCCCCCCCCCCCCCCCCCCGCCAAAUUACACACAACUAGGAAACGGUCAGGAAAGAUUUGAUUCGAACUCUUCUGACUGUGAGGCCGGCACACUCUCAAUUCCACGACCCCUACUUCCCGUCAAGUCAAAGCACCCUCGCCCCUUAACCCACUGAUGGUUUACCUCCUUUGUACAAGGAAAUAAAAAAUAACACAAAUGCAUUUCAUGUAGGCUUCCCUCCACAUGCACCGGACGCAUCAUUAGAAAAUCACCUUCUUCACUUAGAGUGUCCUAACUGCCCACCAGCUCCAUGUUCACGUCCUCAAGCACGAGCUUGAAGACCUAUGGCCCUGCUCUGACAUGUCUGAAUCACACUGAAAGCUCCUCACCGCGACUCCUCUAUUUCUUUUAAUUAAAGUGAAACAUCUUUGACUCCUUCCUCCUCUUCCUAUUAAGCCUCGGAUUCUUCUCCCAGUGUCUUUUAAAAUCCAUUCUUUCCUUUUAGUUCCCUCCAAAUGGAGAAUUCUCAUCUCAGUCAGCAGCUUCCAAACCAGGGAUCCCACCUUGAAUCUCUCCCCCGGCCCCCCACCAGUUCUCUAGAUUUCUUUAAUAAACUCUUGGAAUGGUUCAUUGUUGGAAAAUGUCCCAUGGCUUCUUCCACUUCCACUCACUUCCUCUUCUUUCACUUCCUCUGUCCAAGAUGGCUGAGGUUCCGCUUCUCAGCAAGGCCGCUUCCUGCUCAUCCUCCCUGGAAGCUGUGGACUCUACACAUUACAUGUCCACACAGGGGCUGCUUCCUCACCCCUCCACUGACAUCUUGUGGGGUUUUGGUACAGGAGACUGCUCUGUCUUGUGAUGACUCUAUAUUGUCCUUAUUUUCUUUUUCCUUAGAAUUUUAAAUUAUUACUGAUCCAUGCAUGACCCCCUUGCCUUACUUUUUUUUAUAAUAUGAUGAUCACCUAUGAACUUACUCUAGCUACUAGAUCAUUACCAAUAACUCAUACCCACCCACAUGUCUUCCCCAUGCCAUCCCCUGGUCCUCUCAGAAGACAACUGCUGUCCCAGGUUUUAAGUUUAUGAUUGAUGUUUUUAAAACUAUUUAUUU
rnacentral:lncRNA from 1 species